rfam:Testudo graeca u17 snoRNA gene
GGUUACUAGUGGCUCUGUCCAAGUGGUAUUUGGGAGCAUAGCUCUAAGUGCAGUGGUGUACAAUCCCCUUCCACAGUGUUGUAGAGCAAGUCUGCCUCUGGUUCUAGAGCUGACGAGGACAGCAUCCUAUAUAUUU